GUGAACGACGGGGCAGUAGCUGCGUGAAUACGUAUGGCGGAAUGGUUGUUCGGAAUGAUUGGGCGUAAACAGCUCGGUGGGGGUGUGGGGCGUGUGGUGUGAAAACGCGAGUGUGAACCUCGAGCGUGGAUCGGGUACGGGCAGACUAGAGGGCGGUAGGGGAGACUGGAAUGCCUGGGGUAGCGGUGGAAUGCGCAGAGAUCAGGAGGAACACCGAUGGCGAAGGCAGGUCUCUGGGCCGCAACUGACGCUGAGGAGCGAAAGCAUGGGGAGCGAACAGGAUUAGAUACCCGGGUAGUC
rnacentral:rRNA from 1 species